rnacentral:rRNA from 1 species
GACGAACGCUGGCGGCGUGCUUAACACAUGCAAGUCGAACGGAAAGGCCCUGCUUUUGUGGGGUGCUCGAGUGGCGAACGGGUGAGUAACACGUGAGUAACCUGCCCUUGACUUUGGGAUAACUUCAGGAAACUGGGGCUAAUACCGGAUAGGAGCUCCUGCUGCAUGGUGGGGGUUGGAAAGUUUCGGCGGUUGGGGAUGGACUCGCGGCUUAUCAGCUUGUUGGUGGGGUAGUGGCUUACCAAGGCUUUGACGGGUAGCCGGCCUGAGAGGGUGACCGGCGACAUUGGGACUGCGAUACGGCGCAGACUCGUACGGGAGGCAGCAGUGGGGAAUAUUGCACAAUGGGCGGAAGCCUGAUGCAGCAACGCCGCGUGCGUGAUGACGGCCUUCGGGUUGUAAACCGCUGUCGCCUGUGACGAAGCGUGAGUGACGGUAAUGGGUAAAGAAGCACCGGCUAACUACGUG